rnacentral:rRNA from 1 species
GUGAGGAAUAUUGCGCAAUGGAGGCAACUCUGACGCAGCCAUGCCGCGUGCAGGAAGAAGGCGCUACGCGUUGUAAACUGCUUUUAACCGGGAAGAAACCCCAGGACGUGUCCUGGGUUGACGGUACCGGAGGAAUAAGCACCGGCUAACUUCGUGCCAGCAGCCGCGGUAAUACGAAGGGUGCAAGCGUUAUCCGGAUUCAUUGGGGUUAAAGGGUGCUUAGGCGGAGCGUUAAGUCAGUGGUGAAAUCCUGCAGCUUAACUGUAGACUUGCCAUUGAUACUGGCGCUCUUGAGUGCGCUUGAAGUGGGCGGAAUGUGCCGUGUAGCGGUGAAAUGCUUAGAUAUGGCACAGAACACCAAUUGCGAAGGCAGCUCACUAAGGCGAUACUGACGCUGAGGCACGAAAGCGUGGGGAUCGAACAGGAUUAGAAACCCUGGUAGUCC